rnacentral:rRNA from 1 species
GACGAACGCUGGCGGCGUGCUUAACACAUGCAAGUCGAACGAAGUGGCGAACGGGUGAGUAACGCGUAAUCAACCUGCCAUUCAGAGGGGGACAACAGUUGGAAACGACUGCUAUUACCGCAUACUGAAGGAGGGGAUGGCGGGUGAUUGGCUAGUUGGAGGGGUAACGGCCCACCAAGGAGAUGGUCAGUAGCCGGUCCUUGAGGAUGAACGGCCAAAAUGGGACUGGGACACGGCCCAGAAUCCUACGGGGGGCAGCAGUGGGGAAUCUUCCGCAAUGGACGAAAGUCUGACGGAGCAACGCCGCGUGAGUGAUGACGGCCUUCGGGUUGUAAAGCUCUUUUAAUCGGGACGCGGUACCGGAAUAGAAAGCCACGGCUAACUACGUGCCAGCCGCCGCGGUAAUUC